AUUGAACGCUGGCGGCAUGCUUUACACAUGCAAGUCGAACGGUAACAGGCCUUCGGGCGCUGACGAGUGGCGAACGGGUGAGUAAUGCAUCGGAACGUGCCCAGUCGUGGGGGAUAACUAUCCGAAAGGAUAGCUAAUACCGCCUACGAUCUGCGGAUGAAAGCGGGGGACCUUCGGGCCUCGCGCGAUUGGAGCGGCCGAUGUCAGAUUAGGUAGUUGGUGGGGUAAAGGCUCACCAAGCCAACGAUCUGUAGCUGGUCUGAGAGGACGACCAGCCACACUGGGACUGAGACACGGCCCAGACUCCUACGGGAGGCAGCAGUGGGGAAUUUUGGACAAUGGGCGCAAGCCUGAUCCAGCAAUGCCGCGUGCAGGAAGAAGGCCUUCGGGUUGUAAACUGCUUUUGUACGGAACGAAACGGCUCUGGUUAAUACCCGGGGCUAAUGGCGGUACCGUAAGAAUAAGCACCGGCUAACUACGUGCCAGCCGCCGCCGUAA
rnacentral:rRNA from 1 species